UUUUUUUGUGUACUUAUUGAGCAUAAUAAUUUGUUUGAGUUGUUAAGUAUUAGUCCUCACUUCUGAGUAUGGCCAUUCUGGUUAGAAAAAGGGUCUGACAUAAAGGUUAUAAGCUGAACUCUUCGAAGCUUUAAGAUGUCCCAAUUCAAAAUUAUUCACUUAAGUUUGGCCUAAAUGUCAAAACCUGAAGCCAAACCCACCUCAAGCACACACAUGCCCAUCUAAAGGAAUUCUAGCAUAACCCCUUUACCCGGAAAAGGGGAAGUUAUGAUACUGUCCACUUUACCUUGGCUAAACUACCGGACACACUUUCUGCAAAAAUUUUCGGAGCUGAAAAUGAGAAGGGGUUUUGGGAAAAUUGAAGGACUUCUUUAAGACCAGAUGCACUUCUAAUAAUUGGAAGUUUGGAGCCUCUAGACUUUCUGUAUUUGUUUCCCUUCUUAAUAUGAUUGAUUAGACACUUAGCAACAUCUUCCUUCUAAUAAUUGGGAUGAAUUUACACUGCAAGGCACAUAGAAGCGAGUUGAACUAUUUUUGCAGGAGGGAAUUUGUUU